UCGAGCGGACAGAUGGGAGCUUGCUCCCUGAUGUUAGCGGCGGACGGGUGAGUAACACGUGGGUAACCUGCCUGUAAGACUGGGAUAACUCCGGGAAACCGGGGCUAAUACCGGAUGCUUGUUUGAACCGCAUGGUUCAAACAUAAAAGGUGGCUUCGGCUACCACUUACAGAUGGACCCGCGGCGCAUUAGCUAGUUGGUGAGGUAAUGGCUCACCAAGGCAACGAUGCGUAGCCGACCUGAGAGGGUGAUCGGCCACACUGGGACUGAGACACGGCCCAGACUCCUACGGGAGGCAGCAGUAGGGAAUCUUCCGCAAUGGACGAAAGUCUGACGGAGCAACGCCGCGUGAGUGAUGAAGGUUUUCGGAUCGUAAAGCUCUGUUGUUAGGGAAGAACAAGUACCGUUCGAAUAGGGCGGUACCUUGACGGUACCUAACCAGAAAGCCACGGCUAACUACGUGCCAGCAGCCGCGGUAAUACGUAGGUGGCAAGCGUUGUCCGGAAUUAUUGGGCGUAAAGGGCUCGCAGGCGGUUCCUUAAGUCUGAUGUGAAAGCCCCCGGCUCAACCGGGGAGGGUCAUUGGAAACUGGGGAACUUGAGUGCAGAAGAGGAGAGUGGAAUUCCACGUGUAGCGGUGAAAUGCGUAGAGAUGUGGAGGAACACCAGUGGCGAAGGCGACUCUCUGGUCUGUAACUGACGCUGAGGAGCGAAAGCGUGGGGAGCGAACA
rnacentral:rRNA from 1 species